AAUAGAUACCCAGGUAGUCCACGCCGUAAACGAUGAGUGCUAAGUGUUAGAGGGUUUCCGCCCUUUAGUGCUGCAGCUAACGCAUUAAGCACUCCGCCUGGGGAGUACGGCCGCAAGGCUGAAACUCAAAGGAAUUGACGGGGGCCCGCACAAGCGGUGGAGCAUGUGGUUUAAUUCGAAGCAACGCGAAGAACCUUACCAGGUCUUGACAUCCUCUGCCGACCCUAGAGAUAGGGCGUUCCCCUUCGGGGGACAGAGUGACAGGUGGUGCAUGGUUGUCGUCAGCUCGUGUCGUGAGAUGUUGGGUUAAGUCCCGCAACGAGCGCAACCCUUGAUCUUAGUUGCCAGCAUUCAGUUGGGCACUCUAAGGUGACUGCCGGUGACAAACCGGAGGAAGGUGGGGAUGACGUCAAAUCAUCAUGCCCCUUAUGACCUGGGCUACACACGUGCUACAAUGGAUGGUACAAAGAGCAGCGAACCCGCGAGGGUAAGCCAAUCUCAUAAAGCCAUUCUCAGUUCGGAUUGU
rnacentral:rRNA from 1 species